rnacentral:rRNA from 1 species
AGUGAACGCUGGCGGUAGGCCUAACACAUGCAAGUCGAACGGCAGCACAGUAAGAGCUUGCUCUUACGGGUGGCGGGUGGCGGACGGGUGAGGAAUACAUCGGAAUCUACUUUUUCGUGGGGGAUAACGUAGGGAAACUUACGCCAAUACCGCAUACGACCUACGGGUGAAAGCAGGGGAUCUUCGGACCUUGCGCGAUUGAAGGAGCCGAUGUCGGAUUAGCUAGUUGGCGGGGUAAAGGCCCACCAAGGCGACGAUCCGUAGCUGGUCUGAGAGGAUGAUCAGCCACACUGGAACUGAGACACGGUCCAGACUCCUACGGGAGGCAGCAGUGGGGAAUAUUGGACAAUGGGCGGAAGCCUGAUCCAGCCAUACCGCGUGGGUGAAGAAGGCCUUCGGGUUGUAAAGCCCUUUUGUUGGGAAAGAAAAGCAGCAGGUUAAUACCCCGCUGUUCUGACGGUACCCAAAGAAUAAGCACCGGCUAACUUCGUG